GGAUGAACGCUGGCGGCGUGCCUAAUACAUGCAAGUCGAGCGAACAGACGAGGAGCUUGCUCCUCUGACGUUAGCGGCGGACGGGUGAGUAACACGUGGAUAACCUACCUAUAAGACUGGGAUAACUUCGGGAAACCGGAGCUAAUACCGGAUAAUAUAUUGAACCGCAUGGUUCAAUAGUGAAAGACGGUUUUGCUGUCACUUAUAGAUGGAUCCGCGCCGCAUUAGCUAGUUGGUAAGGUAACGGCUUACCAAGGCAACGAUGCGUAGCCGACCUGAGAGGGUGAUCGGCCACACUGGAACUGAGACACGGUCCAGACUCCUACGGGAGGCAGCAGUAGGGAAUCUUCCGCAAUGGGCGAAAGCUUGACGGAGCAACGCCUCGUGAGUGAUGAAGGUCUUCGGAUCGUAAAACUCUGUUAUUAGGGAAGAACAAAUGUGUAAGUAACUAUGCACGUCUUGACGGUACCUAAUCAGAAAGCCACGGCUAACUACGUG
rnacentral:rRNA from 1 species